AAAGAUUUAGCCGUUGAUUUGUUCUUCAUUGGAGCAGGUCACGUCUAUACCAGGAGCUUGGCUUUAAUGCUGAAGCUUGCCUUGCAUAAAAGUCCGGUAAAGUCAAAACUAUACCGCGUCCUCUUUUUGCUCGAACCGCACAUAACAUUUUAUCGUUACCUCUUUUCUUCAUUUUCCGGUAGGAAAAUUGUUGGGAAUCGAGCCAAUUUAUUCUCUUCCCUCCAUCCAAACUAGCACUUUUAUCGUUAAUUAACCGACCACAAUAUCUGAACUUUCUUUGCUGUUUUGUUUCUUUCAAAUUUCAUGUUUUCUGUUUUUUUUUUCUUAUUAUUAUCAUAUGGAAAGAAAACUUGAGAUGUUUUAGAAACCUCAAAGUUCCAAUCUUUCUUGGAAUCUUACACCCAAGUGUGAUAAUUUUUGUUCAUGUUUCUCUUUUGACGUUUUCUUU
rnacentral:misc_RNA from 1 species